rnacentral:rRNA from 1 species
UCAGCGACUUAUAUUCUGUAGCAAGGUUAACCGAAUAGGGGAGCCGAAGGGAAACCGAGUCUUAACUGGGCGUUAAGUUGCAGGGUAUAGACCCGAAACCCGGUGAUCUAGCCAUGGGCAGGUUGAAGGUUGGGUAACACUAACUGGAGGACCGAACCGACUAAUGUUGAAAAAUUAGCGGAUGACUUGUGGCUGGGGGUGAAAGGCCAAUCAAACCGGGAGAUAGCUGGUUCUCCCCGAAAGCU